rnacentral:lncRNA from 1 species
CCCCCACAGCCAUGUUAGGAACAGGAGGAGAACCUCGUCCUAACAUGAACAAGGUCGAAGGCCCAGUUAUUCAGAGAUCGGAUGGGGGGAGAGGUCCUUGCAACGACCCUUAUAUGCCCCCGCAGCCUUGUUAGGAACAGGAGGAAAACCUCAUCCUAACAUGAGCUGAAAUUGAUUGUGUCAGAAACAGGAGGAGAACCUCAUCCUGACACAAACGAAGAUCUGGUCGUUUGAUACCGGAUGAGGAAAACAGUCAUUCAGCAGCUCCUCUACACCCCUACAAUCCCGCUAGGAGCAGAGGGAAAACCCUCGCCCAAAUAUAAAGAAAGAGGGAGGAAAAAAAAAGCGAUGAGUUACACCAGAGAUAAAAAA